UCCAACAAUGGAGUUCUUGGACGAGGACGCAAGGCCAAGGUUCCUCUUCCAAUCGAAAGCAGUGGGUUCUUCAGCCACAGACCCAGAACCCCAUUACAAGAAUCUCAACAAACCAUUCAUUGCCUUUACAAUAUUACUCUCAAUUCUAUUACUGGGUCUCUCCUUCUUCUUCCUCCAAUCCGAACCCUACCAAUCUCUCCUCAUCUGGGUUGCUCUCUCCAUCCUCAUCGGCCCCUUCGCUCCCGCUUCAGUCACCGGCGGUGACAUCCGCGUCGGUCACGGCCAAAUCCUCGACCUCCCUGAAAUCAUAACCCAAGUAGAGGAGGAAUCGAAGAAGAGGGUGUCUCAAAAGAGAUCAAAGCCGCGUCGAUUUGAUGAAUUGGGCACAGAUUCGACACCGGUGGCCGAAACUGUUAAUGGGCCUGUGAGAGAAGAGAAAAAGCGUGAGGUUUCCGAAGGUAAUGGUAAUGGGUCUAUGGUGUUUGAUGAAGAGACGGAGUGGGUUGAAGAGGAUGUUGAGUUUUUGAAGAAACUGCUCUUGAAGCACCCGGUAGGGAAGCUGAGACGGUGGGAGGUUAUUUCCGAGUCGUUUCGGGGAAAGCAUAAGGUGGAGAGUGUAAUCAAGAAGGCCAAAGAAUUGGGAGAGAAGAAAGUGACUGAUUCAGAUUCUUAUGCAGAGUUUUUGAAGAAGCGUAAGCCCAAUGACAAGAAAAUCGAGAGUGAGAGUCAAGACUUGGGUGAUGAGUUGGUGGUGGAAAAUGGUGAAGUGAAGAAAGAGAGCAAUGGUGGUGGGGUGAGUUGGGCUUCAACUGAAGACAUUGCAUUGCUCAAUGCCCUGAAGGCGUUUCCCAAGGAUGUGUCGAUGAGGUGGGAGAAGGUUGCAGCUGCUGUGCCUGGGAAGUCGAAGGCGGCUUGUAUAAAGAGAGUUGCCGAGUUGAAGAAGGGUUUUCGGAGCUCCAAGGCUUCAACAGAAGAGUAGAUGAAGCAAGGGAAGAUUGUCUGAUCAAUUUGGAAUUGGAUAUGCAUUUUGCAUUGAGGAGAUCAUGGAACAGUUUGAGAUUGUUUUCAGUCAUGUACAUUGAAAUUCCAGUGACUGAACCCAUUGAGACGAUAUUUGAUUCUUUCUGGAAUCUUCAUAGAACAGAAGGCAGAGAAAUAAGAGAUGUGAAAGCUGAGAGGAAACAAAACAGGGUGACCUUGAUUUUAUCAUACAUCUGGCCAUCUAUAAUUUGGCCUGGGGGAAUUUGUUUCAUGCUCUAUCAAAAGCUCUAUAGACUGGGGUGCUAUGGUUUAUGGCUUAUACACUGAUGCUCUGUGCAAGACUGCUGAAAACUGCCCUUGCCAAAAUCUCAGUUGAUUAUGAUGGAGCAAUUUAUAGUUCAAGCAGGGUUGAGCAAUCCUUUCCAUAUUUGAAGGACUUUCUGUCAGAGAGUUUUGAGGCCUACCAACUUUCUUUGCAAUACUCAUAGAUUCUUAUGUUUGUUUUAUAGUAUUCUUUGAAAAGGUUCUCAAGUGAGGAUUAUUUAUUUAUUUUUUCCUAAUGUUAGAUCAGAUAUGAACAGCUAAAAUACAU